rnacentral:rRNA from 1 species
AUACGAAGGGGGCAAGCGUUGUUCGGAAUAACUGGGCGUAAAGCGCACGUAGGCGGAAUGUUAAGUUAGAGGUGAAAUCCCAGGGCUCAACCCUGGAACUGCCUUUAAUACUGGCAAUCUAGAGACCGAGAGAGGUGAGUGGAAUUCCGAGUGUAGAGGUGAAAUUCGUAGAUAUUCGGAGGAACACCAGUGGCGAAGGCGGCUCACUGGCUCGGUACUGACGCUGAGGUGCGAAAGCGUGGGGAGCAAACAGGAUUAGAAACCCCUGUAGUCC